rnacentral:rRNA from 1 species
UGGGGAAUAUUGCACAAUGGGCGAAAGCCUGAUGCAGCAACGCCGCGUGAGUGAUGAAGGCCUUCGGGUUGUAAAGCUCUGUCUUUUGGGACGAUAAUGACGGUACCAAAGGAGGAAGCCACGGCUAACUACGUGCCAGCAGCCGCGGUAAUACGUAGGUGGCAAGCGUUGUCCGGAUUUACUGGGCGUAAAGGAUGCGUAGGCGGAUUUUUUAAGUGAGAUGUGAAAUACCCGGGCUUAANUUGGUGCUGCAUUUCAAACUGGGAAUCUGGUGCGGGAGAGGAAAUGGAAUUUCCCUAGUGUAGCGGUGAAAAUGCGUAGAGAUUAGGAAGAACACCAGUGGCGAAGGCGAUUCUCUGGACCGUAACUGACGCUGAGGCAUGAAAGCGUGGGUAGCAAACAGGAUUAGAUACCCUGGUAGUCCACGCCGUAAACGAUGAGUACUAGGUGUAGGAGGUAUCGACCCCUUCUGUGCCGCAGUUAACACAAUAAGUACUCCGCCUGGGAAGUACGAUCGCAAGA